rnacentral:rRNA from 1 species
AUUGAACGCUGGCGGCAUGCCUUACACAUGCCAGUCGAACGGUAACGGGCCUUCGGGUGCCGACGAGUGGCGAACGGGUGAGUAAUACAUCGGAACGUGCCCGAUCGUGGGGGAUAACGAGGCGAAAGCUUUGCUAAUACCGCAUACGAUCUACGGAUGAAAGCAGGGGACCGCAAGGCCUUGCGCGGACGGAGCGGCCGAUGGCAGAUUAGGUAGUUGGUGGGAUAAAAGCUUACCAAGCCGACGAUCUGUAGCUAGUCUGAGAGGAUGAUCAGCCACACUGGGACUGAGACACGGCCCAGACUCCUACGGGAGGCAGCAGUGGGGAAUUUUGGACAAUGGGCGCAAGCCUGAUCCAGCCAUGCCGCGUGCAGGAUGAAGGCCUUCGGGUUGUAAACUGCUUUUGUACGGAACGAAAAGCCUUCUUUUAAUACAGGAGGGUCAUGACGGUACCGUAAGAAUAAGCACCGGCUAACUACGUG